rnacentral:lncRNA from 1 species
CCUUCUAGGGGCCACUGUAUUCUGUCUAAGGGUCUCAGUCUGAAAAUGGACAGGGGUCAUAGUCGUUCCUCCAGGGCUCACAGACUGAUGACUCACAGGGGUCACAGACUGAUGACCCACAGGGGUCAGGGUCUUCUGUCCAGUGGUCACAGAUUGAUGACCCACAGGGGUCAGGGCCUUCUCUCCAGGGGUCAUGGACUGAUGACCCACAGAAGUCAUGGUCA